GUGAAGAAUGAUGACACAGUGUCCUGGUCUACAGUUUGCUCUCUGUGGGCACACGAUGACAAAACCUCCUGCAGCGAAACAGCAGGCUGACCUCAGC
ensembl:snoRNA